UGCUGCGCUACUACGCCAUUGAUUCACAAGCUUCAUAAUGGAGCGACAAGUACAGUAAGUCACAGUGCAGUGACGGAACAUCGGCCUAGGGGAGGGGAAGAGAGGCUCCACGCAGAAGAUGAAAGCAGAGUGUUGUUGCAGGAAUACUACCCAAUAUGAACUGAUCAUGUUAUCCAGAGUACUUCCUGGUCGUGUGGAAACCAAGACAGCAUCCUAUGGCGGUACCCAAAGACCCCAACACGGCUGUGUUUCCGGACUUCAACUCCAAUGCCAUCCUGCAGAUGUCUAAAUCGGGUUUAGCCCUAAGAAACAUUGCCACUUGUUGUUUUGUUGCUUUUACCCAGUCCAUCCACUAUGACUUCCUGGUCGGGCAAGAAACGUUCCUUUAUCACAGCCAGGAUGCCUGUCUUUCUUCCAUGACAUGUUCACACUUUACAUAUUUUAGUAUUUACAGCACAUGCAGGUUAACUGAUUAAUUGCUAAAGGUCGUGUAUUGAAUAGGAUGUGGGACACAACUAGAAAUAUUGUUGUUUACAGUCCAAUUCCUUAAAGCACACUGCUUGUAGGGCAAUGCCUGGGUCAAAGGGAGCCAAAAGUGGAUAGGGUGUCUGUCCUCCAAAAUGAUUCAUAUAAAGCCAAUUUGUUAUUAAAAUCAGCCUAAUACACAUGGGAUGUGGAAGACAAACUAU